rnacentral:lncRNA from 1 species
CAGAGGUUUGUUUCCAUGGUGACUCUAAAUUCCAUCAUGGGGAGAUUAAGAUCACCCAUUGCACCUGCCUUGAAGAUGGGUUUUCUAUUUCUAUCCCAGUGAGGUCUUGGAAAGGAUGUCAACCAGUGUGAACCUGCUUCCUUAUCUGCUAAUGGGGGCCGAGUGCAAGUGCCUAAGCAUCCGGGCCUUUUCUCUGUUAGGUAUCCAUAUAAUUUGGCUUGGCAUCUUGCUAUGUACUAAUGUGAUCCAGUCAG